rnacentral:rRNA from 1 species
AGUCACUGACUUAGAUACCCGUGUAGUCCAGGGUGUAAACGCUGCAGACUUGGUGUUUGGGAAGUCCUUUGGGGGCAUUCAGUGCCGGAGAGAAGUUGUUAAGUCUGCUACUUGGGGAGUACGUCCGCAAGGAUGAAACUUAAAGGAAUUGGCGGGGGAGCACCGCAACGGGAGGAGCGUGCGGUUUAAUUGGAUUCAACACCGUAAAACUCACCAGGGAAGACUGUUACAUGAAAGCCGAGAUGAAGACUCUGCUAGAUUUUCAG